CCUCGCUUGCGUUAGUCUUAUCUGACUUCUCUCAGCUCUGCUGUGCAAACGGACUCCACGUCCUUUGACUGUAGCCAUGAGUGUGAAGGCCCUUCUGCUGCUUCUCACCGCAUGUGUGGUCAGUGGAGGACGUCUUCCCAUGGCCUUAUGGCAGUUUGGGGAGAUGAUCAGUUGUGCCCAGCCUGGUGUUAAUCCUCUGGCUUACAACGAAUACGGCUGCUGGUGCGGAUUAGGCGGGUCUGGAACGCCGGUGGAUGACGUGGACCGGUGCUGUGAAGCCCAUGAUAAAUGCUACCAAAACAGCAGAAAGAUCCCUGGAUGCGAGGGUGUUUUUGACCUUCCCUACAUUAUCAUUUAUGGCUUCAGCUGCUCCAACAGACAGGUGUACUGCUCAGCAGCCAAUGAGAAGUGUGAGGCUGCAGUCUGCGAGUGCGACCGUGUGGCGGCUCAUUGCUUUGCUCAGCACACAUACGACCCUGACAACAAGCACCUGGAUCCUCAGCUCUGUGUCAGCUGAGUCGCAGCAAAACACGGAGUACGACGUGCGCAACACAGCCGACCUCCAAAUCUGAUGCGUUUCUAGUUAGUGAACGUAAAAUAAAAGGGUAGGAACCUUGUGGUUUUACAGACUCCUGUGCAACCAGACCAUCUCCCAUCGGCAACUUUCCAAUCAACCCAGAGUCAAGAUAUAAAAUGAUUCAAAGCUUUCACAUAAUCUUAUGUGGCAAGGCAAGAUUGGUUUAUUCACACACUGACAGUAUGAAACAUUGUGAAAAAUAUUAAGAGAAAAAGAGCUUGGUAUUAACAGGUUGA